AGCAUUCGCUGCCGAUCACCCAAUCGAACGGGA
rnacentral:misc_RNA from 1 species